rnacentral:rRNA from 1 species
GAUGAACGCUGGCGGCGUGCCUAAUACAUGCAAGUCGAGCGAACGGACGGUAAGCUUUCUUCUCUGAUGUUAGCGGCGGACGGGCGAGUAACACGUGGAUAACCUACCUAUAAUACUGGGAUAACUUCGGGAAACCGCAGCUAAUACCAGAGCAUAUUUUGAACCACAUGAUUCAAAAGUGCAUGACGGUCUUGCUGUCACUUAUAGCUGGAUCCGCGCUGCAUUAGCUAGUUGGUAAGGUAACGGCUUACCAAGGCAACGAUGCAUAGCCGACCUGAGAGGGUGAUCGGCCACACUGGAACUGAGACACGGUCCAGACUCCUACGGGAGGCAGCAGUAGGGAAUCUUCCGCAAUGGGCGAAAGCCUGACGGAGCAACGCCGCGUGAGUGAUGAAGGUCUUCGGAUUGUAAAACUCUGUUAUUAGGGAAGAAAAUAUGUGUAAGUAACUGUGCACAUCUUGACGGUACCUAAUCAGAAAGCAACGGCUAACUACGUG